rnacentral:lncRNA from 1 species
UCAAUUUAUGGCAAGGACUAGGCAUUAAUUGUAGUGCAGUCUAUUGCACAGUGGAUUCAGUCAUUCAAUUUUCACAGCCACUCACAGUCACAGUGGUGCUAUCUUGGAAGUGAAAGUGUUUUCAUAUUUUCAUGUGGCCACUGGCCAGAGUCAACUAGCUGGAAUGCCUCUAUCUAUUUAUUUUUGCUGAUUAUUUAUUAUGAAAGUGAAAUUAGUAACUCCUGCUCAUUUAUUCAUUCGCUUUUAAUAUGAAUUUGCUUCAACUCAUUUUCAUCUGGUUACAAAUACAAUACCCCCAAAAGAAAAAGAAAAGCAAAAGCUUGGGCUUCUGCUUCUGCUUCUUCUCUCUCUUCCAUUGGAUUUGUUAAGAUCUCUUAGCUAGAGUCGCUUUCUUGUCUCUAACUCUCAUGAAAGAAAAUGACCCAUCAUCUUCUUUUGCAGCUACCUUCCCAUAUGAAUUAUGAAAUCAAACUUCUUUAUCUCCACCUUCCUUAUUUUUUGCAACUUAUUCUCUUUUCUUCUUUAUAACAAUUUCUUUUGUGUAUUUAUUUUCUACAAACAUUACCUGAGCUUUCUCUUAAACUUUUCUCACACUUGGCCCUCUUUGUUUUGCUCAGUGAAGUGUGAGUUAACAUAGUUAAUAACAUCACAGAAAGUUAGGGUUUCAAACUUCACGAUCAUUACUUGAGAUUUAGGGUUUCAGUGUAUGGAGAAAGCAAGGAUGCCCAGUUAAGUUGAAUCAUGUUCACUUUCUUUGAUUUGUGUUGUUUAUCUUUCUAACUACUUUCUUGUAUCAUGAUAAUUAAUUAAAUCUUAAUAUGCUCUUUAAUUUUAUUUUCAUAUUUAAUUAUGUUUUCUGGAGGGAACUUAGCAUAUCAUGUUCUUAGAUGUAUGCUUGACAUUCUUCCUCAGAACAUAACUUUUUGUUUGGAUUCCAAGAAUGAGAGAACAAGGAUUAAGAUUUAGGUGUCUGAUUUUAUGUAAAUUAAAUGUUGUUUUUCCUUUCUGAGGAUGUUUUGAUUGCAAAUAUUAUCAAUGUUUCUUCGUUUCAGAAGAUCAAGCAGAAAGAAAAUCCCUGAAGCAAUAUUUGCUAUUAAAUUGUUAGCUUGUUGAGUGAUUGCCUCUUUUUUUUUUUUUUUUUUCCUAUCAUAAUAUUACAUCACAGUUUGGGUCCCUACCUUGUUAUUUUCCUACUGGGUUAAUUAUCAUGUCUUGUACAUAGUAAUUGCCAAUUUCAAGGCACAUAUAGCUAACAUGUAUGAUUAAGCAGAAACUGUUUCUUGUGUAUGAUUGAAGCUGCAGUCAGAUUAACUCAUUAGCUUUAGCUUGAUCUCUUGAUAGUACCUCUCUAAUCCUGACUCCAAUUUGGGCAUUUUCAGCUACAUUGAAAUCUCUCCUAGCUAGCCUUGAUUUUGUUAGCACAAAAUUAGCCCUUGCUAUUGAAAGUUUCUUUUGCGCACACACACACACACACAUAUUGUUAGGAAUUAAUUGUGAUAAGCUAAGCUGAUUAAUUAAGCUAGUAGUUGGAUGAUAUACAUGUGUGUGUGUAUAUAUGAUGAAAAAAUGGUGUGAGGGAGCUUCCUUCAGCCCACUCAUGGAUGGGAAAAAGGGGACGAACUAGCUGCCGACUCAUUCAUUCAAGCACUCAGUAGACGUGCUUUUUUUGUCUCUACUGUGAUUGUGUGAAUGAUGCGGGAGAUAAUUUCCCUCCUCUCUUUUUCUGUGCUUGGACUGAAGGGAGCUCCUUCGUUCUAUUCCUUUCAUUCAUUAAUUUAAUUCUUACAUAUUUAUAUGCAAUUAAUUUCUCUACUUUAUUGUGAUAAUUAGCAUUGCUCUCAAAGUUAUUCCUGUUUCAUCUUUGCCUAGGAGAUGCACUUUCAACUCUAACUAAGUGACGGCUUGGUCUAAAAGCCUAAACUGACUGGAAAAACCAAAAUAAGGAGCAUGUUCAAGUUACCUUCACUCAUCAAUCAAUAUUUGAGAUGAUGAAUGGUUAUUGGUUAUUAUUAAAGAAUAAGGAGCAUUGAGUCUAGCCUGGAAUCGAGACUCAGAGACUCUCAGUGGAGCUAGGAUGGUUGAUCCAUUGAAUGAAGGAAGGAGAGAAGAGUUUAUCUUUUCCUUUGCCAAAAAAGCCAGAAACCACAGUCGAAUUUGCGGUGGGCUUCUCCACCAACCAAUCAAAUUAAUAACCUUUGCUUUUGAGUUUUGUCCGCUACGCAAACACAAACUUUCCUUUUGGUGGUUGUGAUGAGCUCGAUCCCUCUGCCACACUAGCUACUUGCACGGUGCAAUGCAAUCAGAUGAGGCAACUUUUACUGUUCAUCCCAAUUUUACAUUUUAGUCCAAAGCUUACUGAUCAUGUUGUUGUAUACUUGAUUUGCAGCAGUUUCAAAUACAUUGCUUUGCUUUUGCUUUUGCUUUUGCUUUUAUAUAUGUACAACAUAUAAUGUUUCUUGGGAGUAAAAUAAACUAAAAUCUAGGGUUUAUGACUGGUGAUUUGAAAAGUUGGUGAAAG